CAGCCGCCGCGGGAAUACAGAGGGUGCGAGCGUUAAUCGGAUUUACUGGGCGUAAAGCGUGCGUAGGCGGCUAAUUGAGUCGGAUGUGAAAUCCCCGAGCUUAACUUGGGAAUUGCAUUCGAUACUGGUUAGCUAGAGUGUGGGAGAGGAUGGUAGAAUUCCAGGUGUAGCGGUGAAAUGCGUAGAGAUCUGGAGGAAUACCGAUGGCGAAGGCAGCCAUCUGGCCUAACACUGACGCUGAGGUACGAAAGCAUGGGGAGCAAACAGGAUUAGAGACCCGCGUAGUCCCUGUCUCUUAUAC
rnacentral:rRNA from 1 species